rnacentral:rRNA from 1 species
GACGAACGCUGGCGGCGUGCUUAACACAUGCAAGUCGAACGGAAAGGCCCUGCUUUUGUGGGGUGCUCGAGUGGCGAACGGGUGAGUAACACGUGAGUAACCUGCCCUUGACUUUGGGAUAACUUCAGGAAACUGGGGCUAAUACCGGAUAGGAGCUCCUGCUGCAUGGUGGGGGUUGGAAAGUUUCGGCGGUUGGGGAUGGACGCGCGGCUUAUCAGCUUGUUGGUGGGGUAGUGGCUUACCAAGGCUUUGACGGGUAGCCGGCCUGAGAGGGUGACCGGCCACAUUGGGACUGAGAUACGGCCCAGACUCCUACGGGAGGCAGCAGUGGGAAAUAGUGCACAAUGGGCGGAAGCCUGAUGCAGCAACGCCGCGUGCGGGAUGACGGGCUUCGGGUUAUAAACCGCUUUCGCCUGUGACGAAGCGUGAGUGACGGUAAUGGGUAAAGAAGCACCGGCUAAAUACGUG